rnacentral:rRNA from 1 species
UACGUAGGGCGCAAGCGUUGUCCGGAAUUAUUGGGCGUAAAGAGCUCGUAGGCGGCUUGUUGCGUCGGAUGUGAAAGCCCGGGGCUUAACCCCGGGUCUGCAUUCGAUACGGGCAGGCUAGAGUGUGGUAGGGGAGAUCGGAAUUCCUGGUGUAGCGGUGAAAUGCGCAGAUAUCAGGAGGAACACCGGUGGCGAAGGCGGAUCUCUGGGCCAUUACUGACGCUGAGGAGCGAAAGCAUGGGGAGCGAACAGG